rnacentral:rRNA from 1 species
GUACACGCUGUGACUAGCAUAUCAAUAAGCGGAGGAAAAGAAACUAACAAGGAUUCCCUUAGUAACGGCGAGUGAAGCGGGAAGAGCUCAAAUUUGAAAUCUUCAAGGUUUUACCUUGACGAAUUGUAGUUUAAAGAAGUGUUUUCUGCUGAAGUUUUGGUAAAAGUUCUUUGGAAUAGGACAUCAUAGAGGGUGAGAAUCCCUUAUUUGACCAUUAUUUUCAGCUUUGUGAUACACUUUCAAAGAGUCGGAUUGUUUGGGAAUACAGUCCAAAAUGGGUGGUAAAUUUCAUCUAAAGCUAAAUAUUGGCGAGAGACCGAUAGCGAACAAGUACCGUGAGGGAAAGAUGAAAAGAACUUUGAAAAGAGAGUUAAAUAGUACGUGAAAUUGUCAAAAGGGAAGCUGUUUAACACCAGUGUUGUUUUCUGAAAAUCAACCUCUGUUAGCUUUAUGCAUGUUUGUUUAGACCUAAUCAGCUAUCUUUCAUGUUCUAUUGUUUGCAGUGGUGCACUUUUCAGUUUACAGGUCAACAUCAGUUUUUUUUUACCGUAAAAAAGUUAAAGAAAGGUAGCUCAUGGCUCCGGUCGUGAGUGUUAUAGUCUUUUUCCUAUGCGGUAGGAGAGACUGAGGUCUGCAGUGUAGGCUAUUUGGCUAGAUACUCAGGUGCUAUGUGAUAACCAUUUCAUAAACAACUUGUUGAUUAUGUUUUGUCUAUUGCAUACUCGCUUGUACUAUCAUACCUACGCUUAGGAUGUUGAGUAGCGACAUACGCAC